rnacentral:rRNA from 1 species
UACGAGGGGGGCAAGCGUUGUUCGGAAUUAUUGGGCGUAAAGGGUGCGUAGGCGGUUUGAUAAGUCAUCUGUGAAAUCUCUGGGCUCAACCCAGAGUCUGCAGGCGAAACUGUCGGGCUUGAGAAUGGGAGAGGUGAGUGGAAUUUCCGGUGUAGCGGUGAAAUGCGUAGAUAUCGGAAGGAACACCUGUGGCGAAAGCGGCUCACUGGACCAUUUCUGACGCUGAUGCACGAAAGCUAGGGGAG